rnacentral:lncRNA from 1 species
GGUCUCAACAUAUAACAUAUCAGUUUAUUUUGAAUGUUCUUGAAAAAUUGUGUUUGAUUGUCUAAUAACCUCCACUCGAGAAAUCAAAACAUAAAAAAUUGAGAUAUGAAUAAUAUAACUCUUGAUGUGACUUUUCAUUUUCAAAUUUGGGAUCGAAAGCUGAUCUGAUUCGUGCAUGAAGCCACAUCAACACCAACACCUGAACCAUCAACCUUCCCUUUACCCACACCAGCAUGCUUUAAACUUCUGUUACAGUCCUCCAUUAACAGUUCCAU